rnacentral:rRNA from 1 species
CGUGCUAAUCUGCGAUAAGCGCCGGUAAGGUGAUAUGAACCGUUAUAACCGGCGAUACCCGAAUGGGGAAACCCAGUGUGACUCGUCACACUAUCAUUAACUGAAUCCAUAGGUUAAUGAGGCGAACCGGGGGAACUGAAACAUCUAAGUACCCCGAGGAAAAGAAAUCAACCGAGAUUCCCCCAGUAGCGGCGAGCGAACGGGGAGGAGCCCAGAGCCUGAAUCAGCAUGUGUGUUAGUGGAAGCGUCUGGAAAGGCGCGCGAUACAGGGUGACAGCCCCGUACACAAAAGCGCAUGUGCUGUGAGCUCGAUGAGUAGGGCGGGACACGUGGUAUCCUGUCUGAAUAUGGGGGGACCAUCCUCCAAGGCUAAAUACUCCUGACUGACCGAUAGUGAACCAGUACCGUGAGGGAAAGGCGAAAAGAACCCCGGCGAGGGGAGUGAAAAAGAACCUGAAACCGUGUACGUACAAGCAGUGGGAGCACAGGUUUACCUGUGUGACUGCGUACCUUUUGUAUAA